CCUUGCAGCAACUCUUCGACAUCAGGUUCAGGUUUAAGCUCAGGUUUGACAGCUCCGCGCGGGCUCCUUUGAGGCUUUGACGCUCCUUCGAAUGCCCUUGUUUAUUAUGCCGGUAAGACUUAGUAAGAUCUCUUGUCCCGUGGCUUGCCUUUUACUAUUCCAUUUGGCGAAAGUUAGGCGUGGUUAUGUUGAUUUGGAGACUUUACUGCAGUCGUUCUGAAAUAGUUUACCUCUAAGAUCUCUAUGUUUUUCCAAGACCCAAAAUUCCACCGAAUGUUAAAAGAAUAUCAAUGGCAUAAAUCUUAACAAAGAGAAAACGUUAAGCUCAGCAUCGUGUAAAUGUUCAGUAAGGUUUAUAAAAGCUCUUGGAGACACUUAGAUAAUCCAGAUUUCAAUAGACAUACAUCCUGUUGCCCGCCUUAAUAUUCAUGUUUUGUGUUUGUCAUAUUUUUUCUUGAAUGAUGUUGUAGAUGUAGCAUUAACUAUGUUUUCUGGGAGUGAGUUCCAUGUAUUUACAACUGUGUGUGUGAAAGUGUGUUGUGUUUGUUUUGUUGCAUCCGUUUGGAUUUUUUUUUUUUACAACAAAGGAGGCAGCUCAAGGGCACAAACAAAAUGGAAAUAAUAAUAAUAAAAAAAAGCCCGCUACUCGCUGCUCCUAAAAAAGAAUCAAAAGAUGUGGCCGAAAGUGAGGUCAAUUUCGGGAGGAGAGGUGUCCUGAUACCCUUCUCUUGAAAGAGUUCAAGUCGUAGGCAGGAGGAAAUACAGAUGAAAGAAGAUUGUUCCAGAGUUUACCAGCGUGAGGGAUGAGAGAGUGAAGAUGCUGGUUAACUCUUGCAUAAGGGGUUUGGACAGUAUAGGGAUGAGCAUGAGUAGAAAGUCGUGUGCAGCGGGGCCGCGGGAGGCAUGCAGUUAGCAAGUUCAGAAGAGCAGUCAGCGUGGAAAUAUCGAUAGAGGAUAGAAAGAGAGGCAACAUCGCGACGGAAUUUAAGAGGUAGAAGACUAUCAGUAGGAGGAGGAGAGCUGAUGAGACGAAGAGCCUUAGCCUCCACUCUGUCCAGAAGAGCUGUGUGGGUGGAGCCCCCCCAACACGUGAGAUGCAUACUCCAUACGAGGGCGGACAAGGCCCCUGUAUAUGGAUAGCAACUGCGCGGGGGAGAAGAACUGGCGGAGACGAUACAGAACGCCCAACCUCGAGGAAGCUGAUUUAGCGAGAGAGGAGAAAUGAAGUUUCCAGUUGAGAUUUUGAGUAAAGGAUAGACCGGGGAUGUUUAGUGUUGAAGAUGGUGAUAGCUGAGUGUUGUCGAAGAAUAGGGGAUAGGUGUUUGGAAGAUUGUGUCGAGCUGAUAGGUGGAGAAAUUGAGUUUUUGAGGCAUUGAAGGACACAAGGUUCCUUCUGUCCCAAUCGGAAAUGAUAGCAAGGUCUGAGGUUAAGCCUUCUGCAGCCUCCAGUAUAUUUGUUUGGAGUGGCCACUUCGUGUUGUGUUUGUGGUUUGGAAGAGUGUGUGUUUGUCAAUGUUUUCGAUGUGAUUUAGGAAUUCCCCUUCAUCUCACCAGGAGUGCCAUGAAGCAGAACUUUUCCUGUUGGACCCUCAAAAUGACUCCUUGUUUAGAAUUAAAUGCCAGUCAGUCAAAUACACAUAAACAGUGACUGUGUGUAUGAUAGAAAACCAGAGAUAAGCAUGAGCAGCAACAGCUACUUGAAGAAAUCUAUAUGUCAGGUCAAGUAUUCACGUAUCUUCGUUUGUAAUAAUAAUUCCAGGAAUCAAAACUUUCUGAUAACAACAAAGUACAUUACAAAACAGCACCUUUAUUACAGUACUUCAUUAUCAUUGAAAAACAUUACUACAACAUUUGUUCUAGGUAAACUUCUACAGGAUAUAGGAUCAACAAAUCUAUUAUACACAUGAGAAUUAACAAUGAAUAACAACUUGAGAAAAUUGUGUAAGUGGAGAACAUAGUAAAUGUAAUAGUUUCGAGCUAUAUGCUGUAGAUUACUAUCACAACACAGUUCUUCAGUAUGAUCAUUCCUAAAAUCUGCUUAAAAUUCGUCCAUGCUUACACAUUAUCAUAACCAUAAUAAUAAACAUGUUUCCCACAUAGACAGCAUGCAGGAAAACAUUUUUGAGUCAGAGGAGGAAGUGAUGCCCAGCUUAGUGGGCGAAAUCUUUCCCACUAUUUUUUUAUUCCUCCUAAAUGCAGAUAAGUAGAGGGAUGCAGUUUAUACAAUACCUCAUUUGUUUCUCUUAGAGAGCUGUGAGGCAAAAUAUUGCAAUAUAUCAUUAGAACAGCCCUUUUAGAGAGGUAAAUGAGCAGUACUGCUUUUCCGACUCCUCCAUGUCAAAGGACUGGAUACAUUGUCACCAAAACUUGGCUUAGAAUGUCCUCCAGUGGGAGACUUUCUUAACUCUAAGCCCCCUCACCACUACUGUCAGAAAUAAUUUCAGAGGAUAAUUCUUUGACCUGCAAGUUACUGUUCAUAUGUAUUAUUUGCUCAGAUUUGCACAGCUUUAAAAAUGGUAUGUGGGAUCACUCUUACAACACACAUCAUGGCACUUAACAGUAAUAAUUUGUGGAUAAUCAGACCCUGUAUUUAAUGUUUUAGUUGUGAAAGUCCAUUUAGCCACCAAGUUAAGAAUGGUGUUACCUUUGCCUGUCACAUUAGAACCCACAACCCUCAGGGUUCAUCUGAUAAAAUAUAAAAAAGCCUAAGAGUACAACUUGUUUCACUUGUUUCUUCUCAAAAUAAAUGUCACUUCCUCAAAAUUGAGCCCAGUACACAUGGCCUUACUAAGGAUAAUAUAGACUUAACAAUGAUGGAAACUCUAACUAUGAAGAAUGUAGCACUGAUGCAAACUACAUAGACUAAUUUUUUUACAAAUACCUUUGAUAUCUCUAUAUUGUAUUGCAUUUCUAACUCCUAUUAUCAUUAGCUAAAUAAAAGGUACUGAAGGCUCUGCUGGUUCAGUAUUAUGCUUCAGAGUAGUUUUUUUUGCAAGACUGAUCGUUUUUUAUUUUUUUAUUAUAAGCCUCGGUAUCAUGAAUGCUAUGAUGAAUGGUAUGUAGAUGUUAUACUUGAUUAAUUCAUACUGCUUGUAGCAUUAAGAGUGAGGCAAAUUUGUUUAGAUACACACACAUUAUUAUUAUUAUUAUUAUUAUUAUUAUUAUUAUUAUUAUUAUUAUUAUUAUUAUUAUUACUAUUAUUUAUAAUAUUAAUUAUAUUAUUAUUAUAAUUGUUAUGAUAGAUUAACUUGAAUUUUUUAUAGUUCCAGGACAACAGUCACACAAGAGUAGAAUCAGUAAGUAAGUAUCGAACACCCAUGCGUCAACUGAGUAGAAUUUGCGUGAAAGCUAUAGACAUGUUGUUGUGUUGGUUAGGUGAGCACCAGUAAAUAGACUCCACCCACUGGUACCCACCUAACCAACAUUUUGCUCAAAUUCUAUUCAAUCAACCCAUGGGUAUUCGAUACUUUUUUACUGAUUGUACAUUUACCAUCAAGUUAGAAUACAGACAUGUGCCAAUCAUAGUUUACAAUUUGGUGGGGUCAUGUUGAUCCCCAGACCUAAUUGUCCAAAGCCUCAGCGGUUCAGUCAUGUGAUUGGAAAAAGAAGCAGUGUGGGGUAUGAUAAGUAUCCCAUCUUUGCCCUUAACAUUAGGCCACCUUUUACAUUUGGGUGACUUUACUAGUGAUUAUGAUCUUACUGAGGGUUGGUCACCUGAAUUUUUGACAUCACUCUUUAUUCUGGUCCUGCCCUUAACCUCAAACAAGCGCACACCCACACUCACCCAUGCAUAUGUUCACAUCCACACCCACAC